AGUGUACUGAGCAUGUUAUAGUAGAAAGAAGACACAUUAUAGAAAUCUUAUACAUAAGAAUUUGGAUACCAAGAAAAAAAAUCUUUUCUCUAGUGAAACUAGAUCUGUAUGGAUAAUGGUUUGCUUUGAAUCUUUAACAAUACAGCCAAUCAACCUUACUGGUACAUCUGGUAACAGGUACAUCUCUUAUGGCUAAAAUGACCAGUGUGUGUGUUUUGUAUCAAGGAUAUGCAUGUUGUUGGUUUUGAAAAAAUGUUUGAUGUGACUGCCAAGGCUUUUUACAAAUCUUUUGUAUCACAUACAACUCAAUUUACUUCUAUUGGCUGGAAAUAUUUAAAGCAUGACAGUGGCGUAGGUAAAUUACCAAAUAGUGGAUCUUAUGUUGGAUUGAUCAGCCCUGAUGAACUGACCUGACCAUUGUAAUUGAAACCAUAACUCAUGACCACUCUAUCUGUAUAGGUCCUGGUAUACCCUGGGAUGAUGUUAACUUUUAACUUGAAAUCUUAAAGGAAGUUUUGCUAAACUAACAAGCAUGAAUGUCUGGUACAGUAAGAUAGGGUUAAUGGUCAACGUGACAUUAUGGUUCAUUCAUCGGGACAGCUAAUGUUUGUGUCUGACCAAGCAGUUCUCAAGUUAGGGCUUGAUGAAGUCUACAAACUGACCAUUAUAUCUACUGGACAAAAAAGGAUCUUAUUCUGACCCCCUCCCUCCCAACCAUUUCCUCUGCCUUAUCUUGAUGACUUUGACUUUAAUUAGACAUUAAAGCUUUCCAUGUGCUGAAAUUUAGCAUUGUAGAACGGGAAAUAAAUUGUCUAUGACAGUUCAAAGUGUGUAUACAUUUUUUUUUACGCACCCUGUAUAUAUAUUGUAUUCAGUGAUUUUUUUAUUUUACCAUUUUCUAAUAUUAGUUUGUUAGCUCAAUAACUAUUAACCUUUUAGAUCAGGGGCGGGCAACCUUUUUGUAUCGAGGGCCGCAUUAAAAAAAAUAUUGCGAAUGGCGGGCCGCAUAUGUAUAUACAACUUAGAGAGAUACUAUAGCUAAUAUAGAUAUUAUUUUAAAUAUAUUUGGAUUUUUAUAUGUAUAUACUGUGGGUACACCUGAUGUCUGUAGGUGUUGGCGGGCCGCAUAAAACACUCCAGCGGGCCGCAUGUGGCCCGCUCUCCGUAAUUUUCCCACCCCUGUUUUAGAUUGUUAUCUUUCGUAAUGUUAAGACUAGAAAACAAGAUCUCAAAAUUAUAUUUAGGAUGAUGAUUACAAUUACUUAGUCUUAGAUAAAAUAAUUAUGAAACAAAAGUUAUAUAAAGACAUAAUUAUACAAUGUUUAUGUUUUGUAUGUUCAUAAAAAUGUGUAUAGCAGUGUUAUGGAGUGUGUGUGUGGGUGUUUCUAAGGUAACCUUGAGAAAUUAGCGAUUGGUUGGUGGAUAUGCAGUGAGGAUGUUGAAAUUACAAAAAUGGUCUAGUGUAAUGCAAAUUACCCAGGGAUCUGAAACUGUACAGACAGGUUUUUUGUAGUGAGUUAGAUUUUGUUUAAAAUACCAUUUUAUAUUAUUGCUACUAGAUUUAUUUCAUUUCAUCUAGGUUAGUAUUAGGGUUAGUGUUAUGUUGUAAUAAAAGUUAUAUUUAGUUUUGUUUCAAAAAAGAAGUUUUUUCAAGUUUCACAAUUAAAUAUAUAUAUAUAUAUCCAAGCAGUAGUUCUCACCAAACUUUCAUACACUGGCAGAACUACCUUAAAAAAAUGUUCUGCUGGAGGCUGGUUUGGGUAGUAUAGAAGAAAUACUUAUCAUUCAACAGCUGUGAUGGGUUGGAAAAUUAUCCCACAUGGGGGGCGACUGCAUGCCAAAUGGCAUCUUCAAGGAUGGCGUAACGGGGUGCUCCUGUAAGCACUAUAAAGAUUAACUCAGGCACCUUUUUGCCAUAGAGGAAAGUAGGUUGUAAUAGGGUUUAUGAAAACACUGCACUCAUGGUAAUUUUGGUAAUGUCUUAGUGUUAAUGAUUAGAUUGAGAAUGGUAAUGUCGUAGUGCCAAUGAUAGCAGUGAGAAUGGUAAUGUAUUAGUGUCAUUUAUUAGAUUGAGAAUGGUAAUGUCUAGUGUCACUGAUAAGAUUGAGAAUGGUAAUGUCUUAGUGUCAAUGAUAACAGUGAGAAUGGUAAUGUCUUAGUGUCAAUGAUUAGAUUGAUAAUGGUAAUGUCUUAGUGUCAAUGAUUACAUUGAGAAUAGUAAUGUCUUAGUGCCAAUGAUAACAGUGAGACAAUCAUUAGAUUGAGGAUGGUAAUGUCUUAGUGUCAAUGGUUUAACACUAUGAUUAGAGUGAGAUGCACGAGAUGAUUUCAAUUCACGUGAAAAUGGGUCUUACACAUUGUCAAGCAAAGAGGUACCAUUUUUGAUCACAUGACCACGUUUUUUUUUGUUAAGUUAGCGCCAUGAUGUAUCAAGAGACGGAGGUGUCUCUGUUUUCUGAAAUUGGAUUAAAUAAUAUGAGUACCUAAUUGGAGCUUUUUCUAUGGAUGUAGUUUGUAUUUGAUGUGAAAUAAUUCGUGAUGAUAUUUUAUGGCUGAGAUUGCCUACUUUCUGAACUAUUAUUUGAUGUAAUAAAUAUUUGUCUGACA